AACGUAGGAGACAAACGUUGUCCGGAUUUAUUGGGCGUAAAGAGCGUGUAGGCGGCCAGAUAGGUCAGCUGUGAAAACUCGAGGCUCAACCUCGAGAUGUCGGCUGAAACCAUCUGGCUAGAGUCCGGAAGAGGAGAAUGGAAUUCCCGGUGUAACGGUGAAAUGCGCAGAUAUCGGGAAGAACACCCGUGGCGAAGGCGGUUCUCUGGGACGGUACUGACGCUGAGACGCGAAAGCGUGGGGAGCGAACAGG
rnacentral:rRNA from 1 species